UGGGGAAUAUUGCACAAUGGGCGCAAGCCUGAUGCAGCCAUGCCGCGUGUAUGAAGAAGGCCUUCGGGUUGUAAAGUACUUUCAGCGAGGAGGAAGGCGGUAAGGUUAAUAACCUUAUCGAUUGACGUUACUCGCAGAAGAAGCACCGGUUAACUCCGUGCCAGCAGCCGCGGUAAUACGGAGGGUGCAAGCGUUAAUCGGAAUUACUGGGCGUAAAGCGCACGCAGGCGGUCUGUCAAGUCGGAUGUGAAAUCCCCGGGCUCAACCUGGGAACUGCAUUCGAAACUGGCAGGCUAGAGUCUUGUAGAGGGGGGUAGAAUUCCAGGUGUAGCGGUGAAAUGCGUAGAGAUCUGGAGGAAUACCGGUGGCGAAGGCGGCCCCCUGGACAAAGACUGACGCUCAGGUGCGAAAGCGUGGGGAGCAAACA
rnacentral:rRNA from 1 species